rnacentral:rRNA from 1 species
UACAGAGACUGCAAGCGUUAUUCGGAUUCACUGGGCGUAAAGCGUGCGCAGGCGGUUCGUUAAGUUCGAUGUGAAAGCCCCGGGCUCAACCUGGGAACUGCAUUGGAAACUGGCGAGCUUGAAUGCGGCAGAGGGGGUGGAAUUCCGCGUGUAGCAGUGAAAUGCGUAGAGAUGCGGAGGAACACCGAUGGCGAAGGCAGCCCCCUGGGCCGACAUUGACGCGUCAGGCACGAAAGCGUGGGGAGC